GGCUGGAGGAAGAUGCAGUGGAGAAAGUCGGCUAGAGCUGAAGACAUUGCAUUGACUUCAAGUAGCUUAAUGGAACAUUGGUAUAUUUAUUUUAUGGCUUUAUUUUUCUGUUUUAGGGAUAAUGACUCUUCAACAUCACUAAUAUUGUGUGAGCUUAAAAAUCUGAAGAGAGAAACUCACAACAGAGCAAGAGCAUGAGAUGCAUUGUUCCCCCCCCUUAUUCAUUUCUAACUAAUGCUUUUCAUCUCAGAGAGUACAUGAAUAUAUGACAUAAAGCUUCCAGAAACACCCUGUAACAGAUGUAUCAGUUUAGAAGAAACUGGGAAGAAAGGGGAGAGGAAAGAAGAGAAAAAGAAGAGGAGGGCAAUGUGGCAUAAAAUUUAUCUGCAUGCAUGCUUGUCUCACUAAAAUAUUUGUUGUUUGCCUUUCCAUGAAUUCCAAAGUUGGAGUCUGUCAGGGAUAAUCAGCCCUUCCCAUCAUGGGCACCCCAUGGUUCUCCUUAAUAGUUGCCUUUUAUGUGCUGUCAGUCCUCAAAAAACAUAUUUAGAAAAAAACUUACUUAGAAGGAGGCAUAAAAUAAAACCCAUGUU